AGUGAACGCUGGCGGUAGGCCUAACACAUGCAAGUCGAACGGCAGCACAGUAAGAGCUUGCUCUUACGGGUGGCGAGUGGCGGACGGGUGAGGAAUACAUCGGAAUCUACUUUUUCGUGGGGGAUAACGUAGGGAAACUUACGCUAAUACCGCAUACGACCUACGGGUGAAAGCAGGGGAUCUUCGGACCUUGCGCGAUUGAAUGAGCCGAUGUCGGAUUAGCUAGUUGGCGGGGUAAAGGCCCACCAAGGCGACGAUCCGUAGCUGGUCUGAGAGGAUGAGCAGCCACACUGGAACUAAGACACGGUCCAGACUCCUCCGGGAGGCAGCAGUGGGGAGUAUUGGACAAUGGGCGCAGGCGUGAUCCGGCAAUACCGCGUGGGUGAAGAAGGCCUUCGGUUGGUAAGGCCCUUUUGUUGGGAAAAAAAGGCAGAGGUUUAAUACCCCGCUGUCCUGACGGUACCCAAAGAAUAGGCACCGGCUAACUUCGUG
rnacentral:rRNA from 1 species